AUUGAACGCUGGCGGCAUGAUUUACACAUGCAAGUCGAACGGUAACAGGCCGCAAGGUGCUGACGAGUGGCGAACGGGUGAGUAAUGCAUCGGAACGUGCCCAGUCGUGGGGGAUAACUACUCGGAAGAGUAGCUAAUACCGCAUACGAUCUAUGGAUGAAAGCGGGGGACCGUAAGGCCUCGCGCGAUUGGAGCGGCCGAUGUCAGAUUAGGUAGUUGGUGGGGUAAAGGCUCACCAAGCCAACGAUCUGUAGCUGGUCUGAGAGGACGACCAGCCACACUGGGACUGAGACACGGCCCAGACUCCUACGGGAGGCAGCAGUGGGGAAUUUUGGACAAUGGGCGCAAGCCUGAUCCAGCAAUGCCGCGUGCAGGAAGAAGGCCUUCGGGUUGUAAACUGCUUUUGUACGGAACGAAACGGCUCUGGUUAAUACCCGGGGCUAAUGACGGUACCGUAAGAAUAAGCACCGGCUAACUACGUG
rnacentral:rRNA from 1 species